rnacentral:rRNA from 1 species
ACGCUCGACACCUACGGAGGCAGCAGUGGGGAAUAUUGCACAAUGGGGGAAACCCUGAUGUAGCGACGCCGCGUGAGUGAAGAAGUAUUUCGGUAUGUAAAGCUCUAUCAGCAGGGAAGAAAAUGACGGUACCUGACUAAGAAGCCCCGGCUAACUACGUGUCAGCAGCCGCGGUAAUCUGAGCGGGCUGGCAAGGC